rnacentral:rRNA from 1 species
UCCUACGGACACACCAUCCCGAAAGCGCACAAUCUCGUAAGUGAUCCAGGGCUGGGCCUGGUUUUUACUUGGAUGGGAGACCGCCUGGGAAUACCAGGUGUUGUAGGUU